AAGGGCUUCUCCUUGCCGCCGCCGCGGCCGUCGUCGAGCCCGCCGUGCUUUGCCGAGGGACCGGUCGGCCUCGGCUUCUCGCGUCCCUGUGGUGGGGAGCGCCCGCGGAGCGGCCAUGUUGCGCGGGAACCUGAAGCAAGUGCGGAUCGAAAAGAACCCGGCCCGCCUGCGGGCCCUGGAGGCGGCGGCGGCGGCGGCGGCCGGCGAUGGGGAGUCGACGACGACGACGGCGGCGGCGGCGGCGGCGGCCAUGGCGCUGGCCCUGACGGCCGAGCCGGCGCCUCCCCCGGCCCCCGCGCCGGCCCCGGAGGACCGCCCGGUGGAGGAGGAGGGGGAGGCCGCGGCGGUGGCGGCGGGGGCAGGGCCGGGGGCGGCGGCGGCAGCGGCGGCGGGCUUCACCAUCGACAUCAAGAGCUUCCUGAAGCCCGGGGAGAAGACCUACACCCAGCGCUGCCGCCUCUUCGUGGGGAACCUGCCGACCGACAUCACCGAGGAGGACUUCAAGCGCCUCUUUGAGCGCUACGGGGAGCCCAGCGAGGUCUUCAUCAACCGGGACCGCGGCUUCGGCUUCAUCCGCCUGGAAUCCCGAACACUGGCUGAAAUUGCAAAGGCAGAGCUUGAUGGCACUAUUUUGAAGAGCAGACCACUCCGAAUUCGCUUUGCUACACAUGGAGCUGCCUUAACUGUCAAGAACCUUUCACCUGUGGUUUCCAACGAGCUUCUAGAACAAGCAUUUUCUCAGUUUGGUCCAGUGGAGAAAGCUGUUGUUGUAGUGGAUGAUCGAGGAAGAGCAACAGGAAAAGGUUUCGUGGAAUUUGCGGCAAAACCUCCAGCACGGAAAGCUCUUGAAAGAUGUGGAGAUGGGGCAUUCUUGCUAACAACGACUCCUCGCCCAGUCAUUGUAGAACCCAUGGAGCAAUUUGAUGAUGAAGAUGGAUUACCAGAGAAAUUAAUGCAAAAAACCCAACAAUAUCACAAGGAGAGAGAGCAGCCGCCACGUUUUGCUCAGCCUGGGACAUUUGAAUUUGAGUAUGCGUCUCGAUGGAAAGCUCUUGACGAAAUGGAAAAGCAACAGCGGGAGCAGGUUGACAGAAACAUCAGAGAAGCCAAAGAGAAACUAGAAGCAGAAAUGGAAGCAGCGAGACAUGAGCAUCAGUUAAUGUUGAUGAGGCAAGAUCUGAUGAGGCGCCAAGAAGAACUGAGAAGAUUGGAAGAACUUAGAAAUCAAGAGCUACAGAAACGGAAGCAAAUACAGUUAAGACAUGAAGAAGAACACCGACGUCGAGAAGAGGAAAUGAUACGUCACAGAGAACAGGAAGAAAUGAGACGGCAGCAAGAAGGAUUUAAACCUAACUAUAUGGAAAAUGGUGUUAAAAUAGAAAAAUGGAGAUGAAGGGAGUAAAAGUUUCCCGAAGGUGGGAUAGGAACCCGGAAAUCAAGUUUGAUUUUCAGGCAGGAAGAAGGAUGGACCCUUCCAUAGGAGUCAACUAAGCUCCUGCACUUCCUGCCUCUUCCAAGGAAACCCAGACUAGAAAGCUGGAAUGCCUGUGUGGGGAACCCAGACCCGGAGACAACUGCUUGCUUCCAGAUGGGUCUGGGAGCAAAUAAGUGUUACUUUACAGCAGCGCUUAAGAGCUGUAGCCCAGCAAGAUGUCUCACCACUUGACUCAGCCUUUAAUAACCUUGUUCUACAAAAGAAUGGAAAUGACAUUAACUGAAGCACGAAGACUACCUUCUAACUCGAACCCAGUGGCCGGCAUUCAGAGAAAGAGCGCUGCAAGAGCUUCUAGCCCACUGAAGAACCAAGUGAUUCUCCAAUUGUUUUUUCUCACUCCCCCGCAACCCUGGUUAAGAAAAGAGAGACAGCAAGGUUACCUGCCCUGGGGCAAGCUACCAAACUACACCUUAUCUACUGAGCUUGCUCACGUUCUCAGCUGCAACCACCCCAGUGGCAUUUCAAGGGCGAAUUUAACAUUGAAAAUAAAUUACCAAGGCAAGUGAUUAUUCUCCCAGCCUCUGGAGAGUGAUUCACUUUGGCCCCUCUCCUAUGGGGUAGAUUUGGAGAGGGAGGGUGGUCUGCCUUGGGGCUUUUAAAAUUAUUUUGGAAGUAUUUGUCUGAUCUUUAAUACUCUAGUUGUAGUUACUUAUAUCAGUGUUGAUAAUUACUGAACACUGACCAUGCUGCAUAGCAACUGGAAAAUGGUAGAUUGCUCUUCUCCUCACUUCACCCUCCUCUCUGCUCUUCUGCUCCUUGCUUCCUUCCUGUCUCCUGGAGUCCAGGUCUCUGAGCUGUCUCCUCGGAUGUUCAAAUUCAAGGAGGCUUUACCUGCAGGGGUUGGCCCCGCGGCGGGGAUUGGAGAGGAAAGAUGAUGAUUUUGCCCAAUAGUGUGUAAUGUGGGUAGGGUUCGGCCCCAUUUUGGGGUGGGGCGGCGGGGCACUGCCCACCACACAUCUCAGAGAUAAGCUGGAGGAGAUGCAGCUACCAUCUGGGGCACGGAUUUUACUCUUGCUUGGGCCCAGGGGACGAGACGUGGCGCUCCCCUCAGCUCCACUCUGAGGAUGCACUACUGGCCCUGGCCUCUCUGGGACAUGAGGAAAAUUCAGCUGACUGCAGGAAAUUAAGUGGGAGGGCAAAAGAAUGAAAAGGUGA